GUCCAUUUAUAGAGAUAAUACUAAAUAAAAGAGAAGACUCUUUGAAUUUCUGAAAUUGAAUAGACUCAUGGGGAAUUCAUCUCAUAAAGACUAAAAAAAGAACACCACAAUAACCACAAUAAAGACUCAUAAAAAGUUUGAACAAAGAGACUUAGAUAAGUGUGGCUAAUUAUUAGAUGUAUUGAAACUUGACAAGACUCUUUAAAUUCGUGCACUAGUCUUGGAAGCUGAAUAGUCAUCUUAGAGAGUCAUCAAACAAUGGUAAAAUUGAUCAGAAUAGCCUCCACUCAUUCAAGUUGUUGAGGGGGAGUCUCAAAAUCGGCAACGAAUUUGUAAAUCAGCAACCAUGUCGCAUGAUCAGCAAGUUUCAUCCUUGGACCCACAUCAUUAAAUUGCACCAUAAAUUGAAUUUUGCUUUCAUGGAUAGCGCAUGGAUUGGCUAAAUCAACGAAACAUCAGUUGAGCUUGUAGGCUAAUCAAUAGAACCUGAUGCGCUCGCGUCAAGAUCCAUGCUUUUUCCUUCUCGAUGGCAUCCUCAACAAGCCUCCGGUCUUAUUUUUUAGCUUUCUACAAAAUUAGUUGUGAGUUCAAAAAUAUGAACAGUAGUUGUUUCUCACGCCAACGAUUUCUAUGAGAGUAGCUGUUGACUCUUCGCUUGAAAGAAGAUGGCAAUGAUCACAAAUAUGGAAUGAAAUGCAAAAUAAAAUAAAAUAAAAAAUCGAAAAAUUAAACAAAGUGAUGUUGUUUGUGUUCUUAUUUUUUGUUCAUGAACAGAAUUCUUGUUUUUUUGUUCCAA
rnacentral:lncRNA from 1 species